UUAGUUUCAAAAACCCAA
rnacentral:snRNA from 1 species